CUAGCUUAAAGGGACACUACGGUCUCCGUGGAAAGCAACAAUCCAAAAUGGAACAAACAACUUUGGUUUGUAAAAAGGGAGAGAAGGAUAAAAUGAAGGGGGGAGACACUAUAAACAAAGGAAAGGCAGCAAAAGAUGAGGAAAAGGAACAUAAAGGCAAAACUUAGUUGGACUAGGAGAAGGAAGGGUUACCAAGACAAGUGGAAGCCAUGGGAAGGGUUACCAGGUAGGGAAAAGGAGGAAAGAGUUUGCGAUUGCCAAUGGCGGCCCUGUCAUGCAUAGUUAAGAUCCUUUAGAGAGAUUUAAUGUGGGGAGAUGUUAC